GUCGGCUUGCUUUGAUUGCUUGCGUUUUGUUGCUCGUCGGUUCGGGUUUUGUAUAUCCUUCGGAGAGGAAAUUCCACUUCCUGUUGCGUCUGUGUAUUGCUGUAGAGAAGGAAAAACGGGAACAAGAAGAAAGGAACGAUGGGGUGGCAAAAAGCGGCCUGUUGAAUGGACCGUUUGCAGAAGAUAACACGUAAUUAGCACUGGUUCCACCCAGAUUCGCAAGAUUCAUUCGCGUCCCAUCCAACCUUCUUUUUGGGGAGUGUUUUCUUCCUCUCCGUUCUUAUGUAACUGGCGGGUGCUUCGUGGGUCGUAUGAGCUCUGGUUGAUUAAAGCUUUGUCUCUUCAUGCCCUACCAAAACGCGCAUCUUUAUCAAGCCAGCUGGCCAGAUUGGCGAACAAGGCGUACGGGAGACGCAAAUCAUAGUGUUUGUGUUUGGUGGACGCAGUUUGGUCCGGUCGAGUGCCGGGAGAAGGCACUUUUUACCUGCUCCGCUCGAUAACGCAGAGACAAACGCACGGAUUAAUUACACUAUAACGACGGACAUGGGGACGUGUGAGCAUACAAGGGACAAAAAAAAGCUUAGAAGAAACUGCUACUACAAAACAUAAGAACAUUACUUGCCGUACGGAUGGUGGUACACACUGGAAGCACUUGCAACAACGGCAACAAAACAACAACACAAAAAAACGUUGGCAAUGUUUUGUUGAUGAGCUGUCAAAACCGCGUGGAGGUAGCUGACGUUCGUUUACUGCACUUUCCUCUUUUUAAAAUGACCGUUAUUCGUUGAUGCAACCAAUGGCAAAAUUAAUCAAUCUGUUGAGCGAUCAUUAGAGCAACGAGUGUGUUUUCUCCUGAUUGUAACCAAAUAAAAUACUACUUUUAUAUGUAUUACACUUUCACAGUAACAACUUUAUUAACAGACGAAUAAAAAAUGAAUGACGAAUUUUCAAAAUCGAAGUUACGGUACAUUGAAGGAAUAAACAGAACUACCAAAGUAUUAAAGCAUGGUACAAGCACGAUCGUAAAUAACGCUUACAAUUAACUUAGCUACAGAAAAUACUC